rnacentral:rRNA from 1 species
GACGUACUGCGCGAACGUAUUCGGAAUCACUGGGCUUAAAGGGUGCGCAGGCGGCUGUCCAAGCCCGUGGUGAAAGGCCCCGGCCCAACCGGGGACGGUCUGCGGGGACUGGGCGGCUCGGGCGACCUAGGGGUCUGUGGAACUCCCGGUGGAGCGGUGAAAUGUGUUGAGAUCGGGAGGAACGCCGGUGGCGAAGGCGGCCUCUGGACGGUGACUGACGCUGAGAUGCGAAAGCGUGGGGAGCAAACAGG